UGCUUCUCCGCCGUCGGCCAUGCCACCGCCGGCCACCUCACCGUCGUCACCCCUUGACCCCUCAACUAGCAGCUUUACAGUGCGUUCCAGUUCUGCCAUGGAGUGCGAUGGAGGCAGGUUGAAGCUUUUAUGGGUUUUUAAUCGAAGCUUGAGUUCCAGAAACCACAGCCCUUCUUCCUCUCUUGAGCAUGGCAGAUUUUGGUGAUCAAUUUUGGUGAUUGCAGAUCUAGAUUUGUUGGGUAUUUCAAGUUCAAACAGUGGUCUUAAAAAAUCUGGUUUUUCCCCUUCUAUAAAUCUGAAGCUCCUCAGUCCUCAUCAUAGCUGGAGCUGUCAUUGUGAUGAGGGAGGAAAGAAAGAUGGAAGCUUUCUUGUGUCUUCAACAAAAAAUCUAAAGGAAAAUCACAAGAGAAAGAAGAGAGUGGAAGGGUCGUGAAGCAUUUUUGUAGCUUCCCUUUCUCACAAGGUGUUUCUAGAAUUGGACAAAUGUCAAAUAGAUAUAUACACAAACACCAUUGGAUAUUUUUCAGAGCAUUGGUCAAGCUUGUACGUAUUGAAAAUCUGAUGUUAGCUAGUGGAUUGUCACAAGGGUGAAGGAGAGAGGAAGGAGACGAAGUUGAAGAUUCAGACUGGGCUGGAAGAGAGUGGGAGAAAGAAGGUGAGAAAAGGAUAAAGUCCAAAAUAUCCUUAUGCAAUGUCUGUAAUGCCCUUGGUGCACCGGUGGACCAAAAUAAUAAAGGUCCACCCUAGUGGGCACCACAAAGGUGUGCUCAAACUAGGUGAACUUUAGGGUUCUAGUGAAACUAAUGUAACAUUUGGUACAUAGGUUGGAAUA